AUCCAUCUGACAAGUCCAAAAUAAGACGAAACGUGAGUCCUGGAU
rnacentral:hammerhead_ribozyme from 1 species